CAUAUGCUUGUCUAAAAGACUAAGCCAUGCAAGUCUAAGUAUAAACACCUUUAUACUGUGAAACUGCAGAUGGCUCAUUAUAUCAGUUAUAGUUUAUUUGAUGGUGACUUACUACAUGGAUAACCGUAGUAAUUCUAGAGCUAAUACAUGCGUAAAAUCCCGACUUGGCGGAAGGGAUGUAUUUAUUAGAUUCAAAACCUUCCCGUGCUCUGUCCGGUAUUGUGGUGAAUUAUAAUAACUUAUCGAAUCGUAUGGCCUUGCGCCGACGAUGAUUCAUUCAAAUUUCUGCCCUAUCAACUUUCGAUGGUAGGAUAGUGGCCUACCAUGGUGAUAACGGGUAACGGAGGAUUAGGGUUCGACCCCGGAGAGGGAGCCUGAGAAACGGCUACCACUUCCAAGGAAGGCAGCAGGCGCGCAAAUUACCCAACUGACACAGGGAGGUAGUGACAAUAAAUACCAAUAUAGGUCUUUUUUAAAGUCCUGUAAUUGGAAUGAGAACAAUUUAAAUCCCUUAUCGAAAGCCAUUGGAGGGCAAGUCUGGUGCCAGCAGCCGCGGUAAUUCCAGCUCCAAUAGCGUAUGCUAAAGUUGCUGCAGUUAAAAAGCUCGUAGUUGGAUUUCUGGUAGGAUGCGCCUGGCCCGCGGCGUUGAGCUGAGUGCCGGUGCGCAUCUGCCAUCCUUCUAGAAAACGUCUCUACUCUUUACUGAGCCGGAUUCGCGAUCUAGAUCUUUUACUUUGAAAAAAUUAGAGUGUUCAAAGCAGGCUCGCGCUAUGAAUACAUUAGCAUGGAAUAAUAAUUUAGGACUUUGUUUCUAUUUUGUUGGUUUCUAGAGAUAAAGUAAUGAUUGAUAGGGAUAGUUGGGGGUGCUAGUAUUCAACGGCCAGAGGUGAAAUUCUCGGAUUCGUUGAAGACUAACUUAUGCGAAAGCAUUCACCAAGGAUGUCUUCUUUAAUCAAGAACGAAAGUUGGGGGAUCGAAGACGAUCAGAUACCGUCGUAGUCUCAACCAUAAACUAUACCGACUAGGGAUUAGGGAAAGUUGUUUUAUCGACUUCCUUAGCACCUUAUGAGAAAUCAAAGUCUUUGGGUUCCGGGGGGAGUAUGGUCGCAAGGCUGAAACUUAAAGGAAUUGACGGAAGGGCACCACAAGGAGUGGAGCCUGCGGCUUAAUUCGACUCAACACGGGAAAACUUACCAGGUCCAGACACAGCGAGGAUUGACAGAUUGAAGAUCUUUCUUGAUUCUAUGGGUGGUGGUGC
rnacentral:rRNA from 1 species